UUGACCUCGAAUCAGGUAGGAAUACCCGCUGAACUUAAGCAUAUCAAUAAGCGGAGGAAAAGAAACCAACAGGGAUUGCCUCAGUAACGGCGAGUGAAGCGGCAACAGCUCAAAUUUGAAAUCUGGCUCUCGGGCCCGAGUUGUAAUUUGUAGAGGAUGCUUUUGGUGAGGUGCCUUCCGAGUUCCCUGGAACGGGACGCCAUAGAGGGUGAGAGCCCCGUCUGGUUGGACACCGAUCCUCUGUAAAGCUCCUUCGACGAGUCGAGUAGUUUGGGAAUGCUGCUCUAAAUGGGAGGUAUAUGUCUUCUAAAGCUAAAUACCGGCCAGAGACCGAUAGCGCACAAGUAGAGUGAUCGAAAGAUGAAAAGAACUUUGAAAAGAGAGUUAAAAAGUACGUGAAAUUGUUGAAAGGGAAGCGCUUGUGACCAGACUUGGGCUUGGUUGAUCAUCCGGGGUUCUCCCCGGUGCACUCUUCCGGCUCAGGCCAGCAUCAGUUCGCCCUGGGGGAUAAAGGCUUCGGGAAUGUGGCUCUCUCCGGGGAGUGUUAUAGCCCGCUGCGUAAUACCCUGUGGCGGACUGAGGUUCGCGCAUC
rnacentral:rRNA from 1 species